UAAAGAUUUACCUCCCGCCCCAGCAGAGGGAACGAGCUGAAUUUACUGCCAAAAUACUGAAAAUAGAACACGGGCUCAUGAGGGAGCUAUGCAGGCAGCCCCGCUUCACGUGGUGAACUCAAAGACGAAAGUGUACUUUGCCACUUCAACAGGACUUCAUCCUUCAAGGUUGUCGUUUGUAUAUGUCCGAACACAAAAGCCCAGGGCAUUGAGCUGGGCCCAGUCAAAAACUACCAAGUCCCACUCAGCGUUGUCCCGCUGCUGGAAGUUCUCAUCCCUGAUUCUUCACUGUGGACCUGUUUCUGCCAUCA